GACGAACGCUGGCGGCGUGCUUAACACAUGCAAGUCGAGCGGUAAGGCCCUUUCGGGGUACGACGAGCGGCGAACGGGUGAGUAACACGUGGGUGACCUGCCCUCAGCUCUGGGAGUAAGCCUGGGAAACCGGGUCUAAUACCGGAUAUGACUCCAUGACGCAUGUUGUGGGGUGGAAAGCCUUGUGCGGCUGAGGAUGGGCCCGCGGCCUAUCAGCUUGUUGGUGGGGUGAUGGCCACCAAGGCGACGACGGGUAGCCGGCCUGAGAGGGCGACCGGCCACACUGGGACUGAGACACGGCCCAGACUCCUACGGGAGGCAGCA
rnacentral:rRNA from 1 species